UGGGGGAUAUUGCACAAUGGGCGCAAGCCUGAUGCAGCCAUGCCGCGUGUAUGAAGAAGGCCUUCGGGUUGUAAAGUACUUUCAGUCGGGAGGAAGGUGUCAAGGUUAAUAACCUUGGCAAUUGACGUUACCGACAGAAGAAGCACCGGCUAACUCCGUGCCAGCAGCCGCGGUAAUACGGAGGGUGCAAGCGUUAAUCGGAAUUACUGGGCGUAAAGCGCACGCAGGCGGUUGAUUGAGUCAGAUGUGAAAUCCCCGGGCUUAACCCGGGAAUUGCAUCUGAUACUGGUCAGCUAGAGUCUUGUAGAGGGGGGUAGAAUUCCAUGUGUAGCGAUGAAAUGCGUAGAGAUGUGGAGGAAUACCGGUGGCGAAGGCGGCCCCCUGGACAAAGACUGACGCUCAGGUGCGAAAGCGUGGGGAGCAAACAGG
rnacentral:rRNA from 1 species